UACGGGGGGGGCAAGCGUUGUUCGGAAUUACUGGGCGUAAAGGGCUCGUAGGCGGCCAACUAAGUCAUACGUGAAAUCCCUCGGCUUAACCGGGGAACUGCGUGUGAUACUGGAUGGCUUGGAUUUGGGAGAGGGAUGCGGAAUUCCAGGUGUAGCGGUGAAAUGCGUAGAUAUCUGGAGGAACACCGGUGGCGAAGGCGGCAUCCUGGACCAAUAUUGACGCUGAGGAGCGAAAGCCAGGGGAGCAAACGGG
rnacentral:rRNA from 1 species